GUGUGUGUGACUGGUGUCUGACCUGUACUGGAGCAGCCUGAGCAGCAGGUCGUUCCCUCUGUUGGACAUGAUGUCUUCUGGACCCCUGCAUACAAACACAGGACAGAAAACAGUCAACAGUUUCUUCCACAGAAGAUGAACGAAGGUCUCGGGAUUGGAACAACAUAGUGGUGAUGAAUUCAUACGACCUCCAAAGACUACGUCGAAUAGUUUGGACUGCUGAGCGAGUCACUGGUACAACCCUUCCUACUCCCCAAGAACUGUACUUAUCCAGAGCGAGCAGAAGAGCUGCCAAAAUCACUCUGGACCCCUCACACCCAGCACACUGCCUCUUUGAACUUUUACCUUCUGGUCGACGCUACAGAGCACUGCGCACCAGAACAGGCCGACACAGAAACAGUUUCUUCCCUCAGGCAAUCCAUCUCAUGAACACUUGAUGAUAAUAAUUGUUGAGCCAACAUCACUACUUGCUAUACACUUUUAUACACAUAUACACUUAUUUAACAACACACUUUACAUGCCAAUUUGCACAUAACAGCUGCACAUUUAACACUGUGUAUAUAGUAAUAUAGCUGUACACACACUUGUCAAUUUGUAUAUUUCCAUUCACUACUUACUUCUAUUUUUUAAAAUAUAUUUAUUACCUGUUUUUUGUCCUGUCUCUGUAAUGCUGUUGCACUGUAGAAGCUUUGUCACCAAAAUAAAUUCCUCGUAUGUGUGAACAUACCUGGCAAUAAAGCUCUUUCUGAUUCUGA